rnacentral:rRNA from 1 species
CCUACGGGUGGCAGCAGUCGGGAAUAUUGCGCAAUGGAGGAAACUCUGAAGCAGUGACGCCGCGUGCAGGAUGAAGGUUUUCGGAUUGUAAACUGCUUUAGACAGGGAAGAAAAUAGACAGUACCUGUAGAAUAAGAUCCGGCUAACUACGUCCCAGCAGCCGCGGUAAAACGUAGGGAGCAAGCGUUAUCCGGAUGACUUGGGUGUAAAGGGUGCGUAGACGGAGAAGCAAGUUAGUUGUGAAAUCCCUCGGCUUAACUUAGGAACUGCAACUAAAACUACUUCCCUAGAGUACGGGAGAGGAAAGUGGAAUUCUUAGUGUAGCGGUGAAAUGCGUAGAGAUUAGGAGGAACACUAGUUGCGAAGGCGACUUGCUGGACAGUAACUGACGUUGAUGCACGAAAGUGUGGGGAGCAAACAGGAUUAGAUACCCGAGUAGUC